UACGUAGGGACCGAGCGUUGUCCGGAAUCAUUGGGCGUAAAGAGCGUGUAGGCGGCCACUUAAGUCCUGCGUGAAAUCUUGCGGCUCAACCGCAAGCGGUCGUGGGAAACUGGGUGGCUAGAGUGCGGGAGAGGAGAGUGGAAUUCCUGGUGUAGCGGUGGAAUGCGCAGAUAUCAGGAGGAACACCAAUGCGAAGGCAGAUCUCUGGGCCGUAACUGACGCUGAGGAGCGAAAGCAUGGGGGAGCGAACAGG
rnacentral:rRNA from 1 species